rfam:Fuerstia marisgermanicae strain NH11 chromosome, complete genome.
GGCGCGGUCGUCUAUUGGAAGGACACGCGGGCUUUCACCUCGUGGACGCCGGUUCGAAUCCGGUUCGCGUCA